rnacentral:lncRNA from 10 species
AAAUGUAGUCUCCUUGGCCUGCGCUCUGUAGGAGUGGCAGAACAGUAAGAGAAAUGACGAAGCAAGAGGAACCUAAUACUCUUCCUCAUUGGCCUUCCUGUCUCCAUCUUUAUUCCUUCCAGCUCAUUCUCUACAUUAUCCUUUUAUAUCAGACAUUACUUCCCAGGACCCUGGACACUGUGAAUGCCAAACUGUCUGGAGGCUGCCAUGAGCGGCCAAUUUGUGAUCUCUGCUUUACCUGAAUUAUUUCCGUGAAUUGUGACAUCAACCUCGCCAGGAUUUCUGAUCUUGUUUACAACGGAUUUGGAGGUGGCUAACUAUCCUGAAUUCCCACAGAUAAGAAAGAAGACUGAAGUUCAGAGAGGUGAAGGGACUGGCUCAGGGGCUACCCCUAUGGUUGCGGGAGCUAAGAUUCCAGCCCAGCAGCGUGAUCCAGAGCCCAUCUGAGCUACCCAGAUCUUCCUGCUGUUAAACCCGUCCUGGGGCAGCUCUUGCCUGAUGGGCUACCUGAGGAACCCACAGGAAAUCAAGGGAGGUGCCUGCAAAGUUGCCGUGGGGUCACAGCCUGCCCUUUGGAAGGGGCUGUUUCUGGGCUGCUGUGACUUCCUGCCAUUAUUUCCUCUCUGUUCUCCCUCUGGAAUGAAUAAAGUACUUCUGAAAAACCAUCAACCCAGUCGAUACGGAAAUGCUGGUCCCUACAAUAGAAUGCUCUGUGGUCAUUAAAAAGAUUAAAAAGGUCA